GGAAAAUUUAGGGUUUGCAAUUUCAAAUUUGUUGACAGGGUUUUAAUUAAGAAGAACAUUAAACUGGUGAAGCAGUUGUACUUGAUCUCGAACAUUCAACUGGUGUAGUAGAUCAUGGAGGUGGCGAUAGCGGAAGGGAUGGUGAUUGGAUGUGCCCUAAUUCAAGUUGUGGUAAUUCUAUGGCCGGGGAGGUUCAUAUAAUGGUUCCAAUGAUACAAGAAGAAGUGGACAAGGAGGUUGACAAGGUGGAUAUGAUGUGGUAAUUCUGGUGCUCAAAUUCCGGGAGGUGGUUAAUGUGGUAGUGGAUCAGCUGAACCCGAAGUAGAAGUGAAGCGCGGUGAAGAAGGAAAUAUGGUGAAAAUACAUUCAGUUCUUCGUAAUAAGGCCAGUUAGGAGAUCUCCAAUAAUAAAUCGCGGAUACUAUGCUCGGCUGCUCUCAGAAAGAUGCUCCUCGAUUUCCUCAGUUAUGGAAGAAUAAUGAUGACAGAUGCUGCUGCGAGAAACAUGUGACACGUUCUGAUGGUCACUUUUACUCAAACCGUAUUCUGUUGGCUUUAUAAUGUUAGGCAUGUCUAAUGAUUUCAUGGUUCCGUUUUAUAUAUUCCAAUUUCCACUUCACGGGACGAAGGGAUGCACUACAGUUAUACGUGGAACUGGAUUAUGAGGAGAUUCGUAUGUUUAUGCACGAUAGAUUCUUUUGGAUGAUGCUUUUGGGAAGAAAAUGAUCAGAAACUUAAAGGUAUGUAAAUUUCAUAAUUACUUUUUAUAUUUGUCUAAGUUUAUAUGAAAACUUACUCCUGCUUAUCAUCUACAUGCAAUUGAAAUUUAUUUAUGUUAAUUCUGAAGUUAAAGUAGGUGUAAAUGAAGACCAUGUAAAAUGGCAUGUGCCUGCUCUUAGUGGCCCAUGUAUCGCUAGCCUGUGUUAUUGAUAUAUGUUAUGUUGGUUUCUUGGUCAGGACGCUAGCUUUUCUCUUCCACCCUUUCUUGAUAUGUUCACUGUAAUUUACCGUUUCCUGUUCAAGUUUAUUUAUAAUCAACAUUCCAUCUGCAUUUACUAGUGAUUCAGUUUAAGUUCUGUAGGAGUGUUUAUGUGUUAUGUUUCUUUUGUUUGGUGAGGUUCAACUGACAUUGGAAAUGGGAGACGAUGAGAGUAGUUGGUAAUGUGAACUCACUGCAUUACUAAUUGCAUUCCAUAAGAUAUCAUCUUUGAGAUUUUGUCAUCCUAUUGCAUUGUUGACUACUUCGAUUGUACGUGUGCUGCCCUCGCUAUCAUAAAUCACAAUGGGAGACAUUUGUUUGGGUAGCCUAUCAAAGUUAAUUGCGCGUAUGAGGAUACCUCAGUGCUUAUGGUGUAGCGAACCAAUUUAUUAGCCUAUGAGCGACGAAUGCAAAUGAGCAAGAUGGAAAGUGGUGAAGUUAGUGGGGAGUGAGUCUGAGAUUGCUGAAGUGUGUUUCAGAUGGUGAAGCCGGAUGAUGUCAAUGAGAACAAGUAAGGAAUACUAGCUUGCAAUGUUAAAUUUAGAAAUGAUGAAAGUAAUCUAAAACAUAGGUAUCUACAAGAUUUGAGCUUACACUGUUGAUAUGAUGAAAGCUUACGAAAAGAUAGGUAUCUAGAAGAAUUGAACUGUCCAUAUGGAUAUGAUGUAUGAUUUCAGGAAGACUAUCUUUUCGUUUCUUGUGUAUGUAGAGUUUGGCUUUGGUAUUCCAUUUUUGAUCCUUCAGGGGCA